rnacentral:tRNA from 1 species
GCCGAAUUAGCUCAGCCGGUAGAGCACCCGCCUUGUAAGCGGAAGGUCGUCAGUUCGAUUCUGACAUUCGGCUCCA